AAACUAGGCUAACAAAUGAGCUUGUAAUGAUAUUCCGACUCAACCCCCUCUGCUAUCAAAUAAAACACGUCACAUUUCCUUGGUUGGGUCAAAGCUGAACUUAAGACAGCUGGGACAUCGGAGCAUAACAGUUUAUUGGGUCUUGCCUUAAUUUUCUCCCUUUGACACAGAUUCUUCUGUCGAAUGCUGCGGCAAACUUGACAUUAGCUGUCUUACAGGAUAAUACUACCAAAACUACCUACUUACAACAAAUAUUCGUUUUAAAGCUAUUGCCAGAGUAGCCUACGUAGACAUCUUAUGUACAUGGCAGUUUGCUACAGCUAGUCAGGCUAGUAAAAUUUCACUGAUCAUCUGCAGUAGGCUAGCGGCAGAACGCUUGUGAUCUAUAAAUUACGUUUGCACAUAAAGCAAACCAAAAGCCCAACGACGCACGAUACACUUGAGGACCACAUAAUCGAAAACACCACCUGCUAUUCGUUAGAGGCGGGCCUUGGGGAGAAAGAAGUUUCUGGCUGUCGGGUGGCGCUGGAACCUUCAGCAGAAGAUUUCAACAUGGUAUGAGAAGUGCAAGCAGGACGUCGCCGCAGGGCCAUGCAAUACCCUACAUAGUUCACCAUUUCAAAUGUCAUCCCUUACACACUAUAUCCGCAAUUGCACUUUAAAAGUGAUUUACGAGGCAUACUAAGUCAUAUUUGCGCAUGAUUUUUUUAAAAAAGAGAAAUGUUUCAAUGUGUAAUAUUGUUGGUUAAAAUAUCAUAAUGUUAAUAUCUACAUUUGUUCUACGGAAACGCUGACUUAUUCGUUGCUUACAGGAUGAAUCCCAUCUGUCCAUCAACAAAAACCAAAGGUAUGAGAGUUGAUCACAAAUGGGUCUCUACUGGCAUCAUGUGGUAAUACCUUAUUAUUGCACAUCAAUCACUAAGGCCACAAUUGCUAUGGUUAAAUUAAAAUGGCAUUCUCAGAACUUCCAGAACUGGAUUCAUUCAUUGUGUGCAGAUUAAACUGCUAUAGAAAUGAA